rnacentral:rRNA from 1 species
AGUCGAGCGAGAAAAGGGGAGCAAUCCUCUGAGUAAAGCGGCGCACGGGUGAGUAACACGUGGGUAAUCUGCCCUGAAGUGGGGAAUAACACCGGGAAACCGGUGCUAAUACCGCAUAUGAUCACGGUGUCUGCGGACACAGGGAUGAAAGGAGCAAUUCGCUUCAGGAGGAGCCCGCGGCUGAUUAGCUAGUUGGUGAGGUAAUGGCUCACCAAGGCUACGAUCAGUAUCCGGUCUGAGAGGACGGUCGGACACACUGGAACUGAGACACGGUCCAGACUCCUACGGGAGGCAGCAGUGGGGAAUUUUUCGCAAUGGGGGCAACCCUGACGAAGCAACGCCGCGUGGAUGAUGAAGUAUCUCGGUACGUAAAAUCCUUUCGACAGGGAAGAAACCGCAAGGUUGACGGUACCUGUAGAAGAAGCCCCGGCUAACUCCGUGCCAGCAGCCGCGGUAAUACGGGGGGGGCUAGCGUUGUUCGGAAUUACUGGGCGUAAAGGGCGCGUAGGCGGUCUGCUAAGUUGGAUGUGAAAACUCUGGGCUUAACCCAGAGCCUGCAUUCAAUACUGACAGGCUAGAGUUCUGGAGGGGAUAGCGGAAUUCCUGGUGUAGCGGUGAAGUGCGUAGAUAUCAGGAGGAACACCGGUGGCGAAGGCGGCUAUCUGGACAGAGUCUGACGCUGAGGCGCGAAAGCUAGGGGAGCAAACAGGAUUAGAUACCCUGGUAGUCCUAGCCCUAAACGAUGGAUACUUGGUGUAACUGGGAUUGAAUCCAGUUGUGCCGAAGCUAACGCAUUAAGUAUCCCGCCUGGGGAGUACGGUCGCAAGGCUGAAACUCAAAGGAAUU